rnacentral:rRNA from 1 species
UAGGGAAUCUUCGGCAAUGGGGGGAACCCUGACCGAGCAACGCCGCGUGAGUGAAGAAGGUUUUCGGAUCGUAAAGCUCUGUUGUUAGAGAAGAACAGCGCAUAGAGUAACUGUUAUGCGUGUGACGGUAUCUAACCAGAAAGCCACGGCUAACUACGUGCCAGCAGCCGCGGUAAUACGUAGGUGGCAAGCGUUGUCCGGAUUUAUUGGGCGUAAAGCGAGCGCAGGCGGUCAAUUAAGUCUGAUGUGAAAGCCCCCGGCUCAACCGGGGAGGGUCAUUGGAAACUGGUUGACUUGAGUGCAGAAGAGGAGAGUGGAAUUCCAUGUGUAGCGGUGAAAUGCGUAGAUAUAUGGAGGAACACCAGUGGCGAAGGCGACUCUCUGGUCUGUAACUGACGCUGAGGUUCGAAAGCGUGGGUAGCAAACAGG